AUGGUCGACGCUCCUGUUAACUUCUCCAUCCUACUGCUCCUGUUGCCAGUUUUGAACAGCAGCAGAAUCUCCCAGACACCUGAGGCAGUAAUAGUGAGGCCGAAAGGAAGCAGCCACAACACCUCAAACGUGUUCUACAUGUACUGGUACAGACGACCAGCACAGAGCGGAGCCCUCACACUAGUUGGCUACCUGUACUCCGGCACAGCCAACCUAGAGACAGACUUUACCAACGAUCGCUUCAGUCUCCAAGGAAACGCAGGUAGUCGUGGAGACCUGCAGAUAUCCAAUCCUACCACAGAGGACUCUGGGGAGUAUUUCUGUGCGACCAGAGAAGCACACUGCUCUAGAUUCUCCUCCUUCCUUUACAAAAACCCCUCUCUCUGGUACAUCACACAGUUCAUAGUCUUUGUCUGGCAUACAGAGUGA